rnacentral:rRNA from 1 species
AUUGAACGCUGGCGGCAUGCCUUACACAUGCAAGUCGAACGGCAGCACGGGAGCAAUCCUGGUGGCGAGUGGCGAACGGGUGAGUAAUAUAUCGGAACGUGCCCAGGAGUGGGGGAUAACUGCUCGAAAGAGCAGCUAAUACCGCAUACGACCUGAGGGUGAAAGGGGGGGAUCGCAAGACCUCCCGCUAUUGGAGCGGCCGAUGUCAGAUUAGCUAGUUGGUGGGGUAAAGGCCUACCAAGGCAACGAUCUGUAGUUGGUCUGAGAGGACGACCAGCCACACUGGGACUGAGACACGGCCCAGACUCCUACGGGAGGCAGCAGUGGGGAAUUUUGGACAAUGGGCGCAAGCCUGAUCCAGCAAUGCCGCGUGCAGGAAGAAGGCCUUCGGGUUGUAAACUGCUUUUGUCAGGGAAGAAAUCCUCUAGGUUAAUACCCUUGGGGGGAUGACGGUACCUGAAGAAUAAGCACCGGCUAACUACGUGCCAGCCGCCGCCGUAAAAC